rnacentral:rRNA from 1 species
AAUGAACGUUGGCGGCAUGGAUUAGGCAUGCAAGUCGAGCGAGAAAUUUAAGUUUGAAGCUUCGGUUGAUUUCUUAAAUGGACAGCGGCGCAUGGGAGAGUAACGAGUAGUUAUCUGCCCUCAGGUCUGGGAUAGCCACGGGAAACUGUGGGUAAUACCGGAUAAUAUCUCAGGAUCAAAGGUGUGAUUCCGCCUGAGGAGGAGACUGCUUACUACUAGCUUGUUGGUGGGGUAAUGGCCUACCAAGGCUGUGAUGGUUAGCGGGCGUGAGAGCGUGGCCCGUCUCACUGGGACUGAAACACUGCCCAGACACCUACGGGUGGCUGCAGUCGAGAAUCUUCGGCAAUGGGCGAAAGCCUGACCGAGCGAUGCCGCGUGCGGGAUGAAGGCCCUCGGGUUGUAAACCGCUGUCAGUUGGGAGGAAGGGUCCGUGAAGAGCGGAUCUUGACCUAUCUUCAGAGGAAGUCCGGGCUAAGUUCG